rnacentral:rRNA from 1 species
UACGUAGGGUCCGAGCGUUGUCCGGAAUUAUUGGGCGUAAAGGGCUCGUAGGCGGUUCGUCACGUCGGGAGUGAAAACUCGGAGCUCAACUCCGAGCCUGCUUCCGAUACGGGCAGACUAGAGGUAGGCAGGGGAGAGCGGAACUCCUGGUGUAGCGGUGGAAUGCGCAGAUAUCAGGAGGAACACCGAUGGCGAAGGCAGCUCGCUGGGACGGUACUGACGCUGAGGCACGAAAGCGUGGGUAGCAAACAGG